GAUUAAUUUUGUUAUGAAUUAACACCACGCUUUCCUGCCAUGCACCGACUGUAAAGCACAGAGAUGUUUCUGGAGAGUUUUUAUAACGUUUAGGAAAGGUGAUUUAAAAAUGCUGGCACAGAUCCAAGUCCAGGAGGAAGCCAAGCCUUCACAAACCACAAGGAUUUGCAGGCACUGGGGUGGAAGCAGGAGAUGUCAAAGUGUGGGUCAAGAAGAUUGGCAGUCCGAAUGGUCCAAAGAUCAGGGCUCAGCCUGACUAGCCUAGGCACAAGCCUAUCUUAACUGGUGCUUGGCAGAGGUCUUUGUGUUCUCUCUCCACUGUUCUUCAGAAGGGUCUUGCAGCAAAGAAGGAUCUGCAGUGCUGGAGAUGCUGUUGGCACCCAGUUUUGUGAUAAAGUGAUGAGCAGGAAAUGAGGAGCUUCACCAGAUGCUGUGUGAGGAAUCACCUAUUUGCAGCCUGUGUUGUGCUACAGUCAGAGUCAAUGGAUGAAAAAUUCUGAGCAAAAUUUCCUAAAUGCGUUACUGUGUUCGGGACAGAUGACGUGACGCAAUCAGAAGAGGCCAGUUCUUCUCCAGUGCCCUAUCUGAAAUUUUCAGUUCUCCAAGGAUAAGGGGGUGUUGACGCACCUAAGCUGCAUGGAACAGGUGAGAUUUCUUAUUACAGAUCUUGCAGGAAGAAUGUUGGAAAUUUGGGGCUUUUCUCUGCCCAUAUAGUUGCUUAGGACCUUCAGAUACUAAUCUGAGCAAUGUGUUUCAUUUAGUUUUAGAUAAGAAACGAUGCAUGUUGAAAACAUAUGGAAAAUGAAUGCUCCUUUUUCCCGUGUUCUGUGUUUGGCCCUAAUGGUACAAAAAUACACAAGUAGUGUCUUCUCUCCUUCACAUCCAUAUGGAGAGAUUGGUCACUCUAUGGGUCUUAAAGCUUACUUAGCAUCAAAGGAUGCAAGCCCUGGGACACUGUGAGUGCCUCAAGCUGAAAGCCAUCUCCUUUUUCUCUCCUCACUGGCUAUCAUGGCAAUUUCCAAGCUCUACAGGCACUCCCUGGGGGACUAAAUAGAGUUUGUUCUUCCUCUUUCUGCUUUGUCAGUUGAAGAGAUGAAACAGAACUGAGCUGUAAUUCCCAGCUCUCUGCGGAGUACUUGAUGUAUUAAAGAUGGAAAAUCUGUUUUGUGAAAGGCCAUGGGAUAUCAGUGUUUCUAUUUGGUUCCACUUGGAACAAAUGCUCCAAAAUCUGAAAUUCCUCAUGUGGUGGGGGCAGGGGAAGCCAAACAAAUAAAAGAUAGUUUCCAUUACAAUGUAUAAUAUGAGUAAUUACCUUUACCUCCUGCUUAGGAGAAAAAGGCAUUUUAUGUCAAACAUUUCAUUCUUUAACUAAAACGCACUCAUUUUGAGAUUUGUCAGGGCCAUUUCUGUUUCAGUGAAAGAAAUUAUGGUUGGAGUAGUCAUGAUUACAGGAAGCAUUUGUGUUCUGAUGCCAAACAGUUCCAUCAAAGCCUUCUCAAUGAGUACUCGUUAUAUGACUUGGUAGUAUUACUUCUGCCCUAGGCUAGAGCAAAUGGGUUGUGGCUCAGCCUAAUGCAGCAAUGAAGGUACAAAACCCUGAUAAGGCUCUUUCAGAGUCAUUACAGCAGCAUGCACUGGGUGGGGCACGGGAAAGAGAAUAUACCCUCUGCUCUUCACUCAAAUGACAAGGGCCUUCCCAUCAGGAGAAAGAGACUCAGACUCGGCUCUGCUCUGCUCUCUUUGAAGUGUUAUAAUUAGAGCUGAUCUGCUAUGAGAAGAUAAGUGUUCUAAAUCUAGUUUAAAUUGUAUUAGCUUGCUCCCCGUGGAAACUAGAAAGACAUUUUGUGAUAUAAUAUUAAAAAUCUUUCUUGGGUCUUCUCUGGGAGUGAUACCAACCAUUACUCAAAGGCUCUCACCAGUCCAAAUCAACUCUUUUUACUCUUUGUAAUCCAUUUAUUCUAGAGCUAAAAUAAAACAUGAAAAAUGCUUAUUUCUUAGGAUGAACUGGAAUAGCUCCUAGGACUUAAUUGGUGAUAAUUUAUGCUGCAAAUGCCUGCUUGAAACAGUGUUUAUAAAUAUCUCACUUCAUGGAAAAAAAUUAUGAGUGGUGAUAGAAAUCUGUCUGGCAGAAAAUAACAUGUUAUCUGCCAGAAGGAACAGAUUUGCAGUUGAAUGCAUUGUGGGUCCAGCUGUGUUAAAAAGCCAUAUAUUAAGGAUAAUUAAAAUAUUAUAAAUCACCACUCAGAAUGGUUUACUCCAGAGGUAGUCUUCUGAGUCAAUUGCUACUGAAACUUAGGAGGGAACUACAAGUCCAAAAUUAGAGGUUGAAAUCAGGGAAAAGAACUCAAAUGAUUACUUCUGGGAAGAAUUAUUUUCUUUAAACUUAUUUCUUAAAAGCACUGAUUCUCUCCACUAAUGAAAGGAUAAAGUCAAUGCCUGAGGGUGAAUAAUGUCAUCAAAAGAACACUUUCAGCCAAUUCAUAAGCAGUUUAACACAACUUUAGUGGAAAACUUUGUCUUCCUACACAUUCAAAACUUCUCCUCAAAGUUUACUUGCCUAUACUAAGGCCAGUGUAGUGCUAUUGAUUUCUUCUAAGAAUCAAGCCCCAUUAGUAAUUUAAUUUCAUUCUAAUUCAUUUACUUUUAUACGUACACAUAUGUACACUUCUGUAUUUACCAAUAAAAGGGAGGUUAGCGCUAAAUGAAACAUAUUCUCAAAGUCAUAGUUAACAAGACCUAACUAUAACUGAAUACUCAAAGGGAAAGAAAAAAUAUCUCAUGGCAAGAAACACUUUUGCAGGACACUUGAUAUGCAACAUUAUGCACUAUAAACUACAGUCAGGAAGAAAAAAAUCAGCUUGAUGACAUACACUGCAUCUGGGUCAUGGGCAGCUUGACAGUGUUUUUGCCUUGAGCUAUGGCUGUGUCAGCUUUAAUGUGACAUUUAACAUAUUUAACCAUGAACAUAUGACACAUCUUUAGAAAUCUUUAUUGUAUAAAUAGCCUAUUUUUACAUGCAUAAUUGCCAACAACAGUAAAUAAAAUUCAGCGUGAAGUGACAUUUUGUAAGACCUUAUCAGCUUUGUCCUGUGGCAUUAGUCUAGCAUAUGUUAUAGAACAUGAGACAUAUCCUGGAUUGUUUUUCUUUAAAUCCUGCACAUCGACAUUAUAUUUUAGACUCAGUGCUAUUAGUAACAAGAAAUGUGAACUUUAUAUGGAUCUGAGCUGUCUGUUCGUAUUUGCAAGGCCUUUGGACAACAGUGUAAAAUCUGUGUGACAGACUGUUGUAUUUUAUGACAGGAACCAGGGCAGCUUACCUUGGAAGGCAUCAGAAACUUCAUGCAAUGUCGUUGCAUAGUGCAUAGCAGUACCUAGGUAAUGCAUCCAGUGAUGCUUAAACCUCUGAUGCUCUAGAAUAAACAGCUUGAC